rnacentral:tRNA from 1 species
GCGGCAGUGGCGGAAUGGCAGACGCGCUAGGUUCAGGGUCUAGUGGGCACCAGCCCGUGGAGGUUCAAAUCCUCUUUGCCGCACCA